rnacentral:rRNA from 1 species
GACGAACGCUGGCGGCGUGCUUAACACAUGCAAGUCGAACGGAAAGGCCCUGCUUUUGUGGGGUGCUCGAGUGGCGAACGGGUGAGUAACACGUGAGUAACCUGCCCUUGACUUUGGGAUAACUUCAGGAAACUGGGGCUAAUACCGGAUAGGAGCUCCUGCUGCAUGGUGGGGGUUGGAAAGUUUCGGCGGUUGGGGAUGGACUCGCGGCUUAUCAGCUUGUUGGUGGGGUAGUGGCUUACCAAGGCUUUGACGGGUAGCCGGCCUGAGAGGGUGACCGGCCACAUUGGGACUGAGAUACGGCCCAGAAUCCUACGGGAGGCAGCAGUGGGGAAUAUUGCACAAUGGGCGGAAGCCUGAUGCAGCAACGCCGCGUGCGGGAUGACGGCCUUCGGGUUGUAAACCGCUUUCGCCUGUGACGAAGCGUGAGUGACGGUAAUGGGUAAAGAGGCACCGGCUAACUACGUG